rnacentral:rRNA from 1 species
CCUACGGGAGGCUGCAGUGAGGAAUAUUGGUCAAUGGCCGCAGGGCUGAACCAGCCAAGUCGCGUGAGGGAUGACGGUCCUAUGGAUUGUAAACCUCUUUUGUCAGGGAGCAAAGUGCGCCACGUGUGGCGCUUUGCGAGUACCUGAAGAAAAAGCAUCGGCUAACUCCGUGCCAGCAGCCGCGGUAAUACGGAGGAUGCGAGCGUUAUGCGGAUUUAUUGGGUUUAAAGGGUGCGCAGCCGGAAUUUCAAGUCAGCGGUAAAAUUUCGGGGCUCAACCCCGUCGUGCCGUUGAAACUGGCGUUCUUGAGUGAGCGAGAAGUAUGCGGAAUGCGUGGUGUAGCGGUGAAAUGCAUAGAUAUCACGCAGAACUCCGAUUGCGAAGGCAGCAUACCGGCGCUCAACUGACGCUCAUGCACGAAAGCGUGGGUAUCGAACAGGAUUAGAUACCCCUGUAGUC